rnacentral:lncRNA from 1 species
CUGACGGUGUCUUCAGAAUUCUGCCGAGUGGCAGCAUUAUUUUAGUUCUGUGGCCGCUGCUCGUCCUGUCCCCUCCACUCCCAUUGCUGUUCUGCCUGGUUUAGGACUUGCUUUGGAUACUUUUGGAGUUGCACCCCCUGUCCUGUUGGUUUCAACGAUUGAAAGAUUUUCAGUUUUGAGUGCAGCAGAGUUUUGUCGAAUCAGAGAAAGGGUCGGAGUUCAUACCUAGCCAGCUGCUGCCGCCGAGAUUCAAGAAGUACCGGGGCCAUGGACCCUGACACCAACGAUGUAAUUGGAUACAUAGUUCCUGUCUCAGGACCAGGUGGGGAGACUGGGAAAAACGAGUAAAAUUGAUAUGUUUCAGAUAGACUUACACUG